AAAGGGUAUGAUUGAAGCUGGAGUCAAAAAAACUGUUAAUUUUACAUGGACACCCCCUGCUAAUCAUGAUCCUAAUGUACUUGUUGAAGAAACAGCCACCAUAACCCUGAAAUGUGAUGGUUCAGAGCAGAUAACUCUAAUGAUUCAAGCCAUGGUGGUCACUGGAUAAAAUGUCUAGUCCAAAGCAAGUAACAUUAUAGCCACCUGAAAAAUUGCUGGAAAAAAAAAAGAAAGAUCAUUUGACAUGUAAAAUUACCGGGCUUCCCUUUGAGUUCUAACCUAACACUUAUUUUUCUCUCAAUGGAUGAGAAAAGGAAAUAUACCUAUAUAAUGUUCAAAUGUUUUCAUUUGUUAAAAAAUUUAAUGAAUGAGAUCUCCAAAUAUAUUUUGAAGUAAAAUAUAUUUCUGCAAACACUAUAAAAUAAUAAUAAUAAGAUAUUUGUAUCUACAUGUUAUUGUUUAUUCAUUCAUAUUGUAUGUCUAUAUUUGUAUUACAAUUACAUAUUUAACUUGCAAAGCUUCAAAAUUUCAUUUUUUGUUUAGUGUUUUGAAAGAGGUUAUAUUUUUUAAUUGUGAUGCCAUUACACUGUGAUACAAUGUUGUUCUUGUUUUUUUUUUUCAAAUAAAAGUGCUUGGGUGCAUUGUUACUAAUUAUAUUUAA
rnacentral:sRNA from 1 species